rnacentral:rRNA from 1 species
GACAGAGGUGGCGAGCGUUGUUCGGAAUUACUGGGCUUAAAGGGCGCGUAGGCGGUGGAGUAAGUCUGAGGUGGAAGGUCAGGGCUUAACCCUGAAAUUGCCUUGGAAACUGCAUCACUUGAGUCAGCGAGGGGAUGGCGGAAUUCCAGGUGUAGCGGUGAAAUGCGUAGAUAUCUGGAGGAAGGCCGGUGGCGAAGGCGGCCAUCUGGCGCUGAACUGACGCUGAGGCGCGAAAGCGUGGGGAGCAAACAGG